rnacentral:tRNA from 1 species
CCUGGCAAUAAGGAUCUGCUCCUAUGCGUGAAUUUACAGCUCACUACCUUUAUCGGCCAUAUUACC